rnacentral:rRNA from 1 species
GUGGGGAAUAUUGCACAAUGGGCGCAAGCCUGAUGCAGCAACGCCGCGUGAGGGACGACGGCCUUCGGGUUGUAAACCUCUUUUAGCAGGGAAGAAGCGAAAGUGACGGUACCUGCAGAAAAAGCACCGGCUAACUACGUGCCAGCAGCCGCGGUAAUACGUAGGGUGCAAGCGUUGUCCGGAAUUAUUGGGCGUAAAGAGCUCGUAGGCAGUUUGUCGCGUCUGCUGUGAAAACCCGAGGCUCAACCUCGGGCCUGCAGUGGGUACGGGCAGACUAGAGUGCGGUAGGGGAGAUUGGAAUUCCUGGUGUAGCGGUGGAAUGCGCAGAUAUCAGGAGGAACACCGAUGGCGAAGGCAGAUCUCUGGGCCGUAACUGACGCUGAGGAGCGAAAGCGUGGGGAGCGAACAGGAUUAGAAACCCGAGUAGUCC